GAUGAACGCUGGCGGCGUGCCUAAUACAUGCAAGUAGAACGCUGAAGGAAGGAGCUUGCUCUUUCCGGAUGAGUUGCGAACGGGUGAGUAACGCGUAGGUAACCUGCCUGGUAGCGGGGGAUAACUAUUGGAAACGGUAGCUAAUACCGCAUAACAGUAGAUGUUGCAUGAUAUCUACUUAAAAGGUGCAAUUGCACCACUACCAGAUGGACCUGCGUUGUAUUAGCUAGUUGGUGAGGUAACGGCUCACCAAGGCGACGAUACAUAGCCGACCUGAGAGGGUGAUCGGCCACACUGGGACUGAGACACGGCCCAGACUCCUACGGGAGGCAGCAGUAGGGAAUCUUCGGCAAUGGACGGAAGUCUGACCGAGCAACGCCGCGUGAGUGAAGAAGGUUUUCGGAUCGUAAAGCUCUGUUGUAAGAGAAGAACGAGUGUGAGAGUGGAAAGUUCACACUGUGACGGUAUCUUACCAGAAAGGGACGGCUAACUACGUG
rnacentral:rRNA from 1 species